UACGAAGGGGGCUAGCGUUGCUCGGAAUCACUGGGCGUAAAGCGCACGUAGGCGGAUUGCUAAGUCAGGGUGAAAUCCUGGAGCUCAACUCCAGAACUGCCUUUGAUACUGGCGACCUUGAGUCCGGGAGAGGUGAGUGGAACUGCGAGUGUAGAGGUGAAAUUCGUAGAUAUUCGCAAGAACACCAGUGGCGAAGGCGGCUCACUGGCCCGGUACUGACGCUGAGGUGGCGAAAGCGUGGGGAGCAAACAGG
rnacentral:rRNA from 1 species